UACUCUCACACUCCCUCUGGGGAGCGGUGGACUUGGGUGUUUGCUGCUCACCAAGCGGCUCACCUGAAAUACAUUCGUGCACCUCUUGGUUGGACAUAGUACGGCGUGAUAAGUGUCUUCGCCGGCACCUCGCAAGAGGGUGGCCAGUCUUGAGCUCUGUGCUUUCAAACCGUCCUCGGACAAUGUCUGACAAC
rnacentral:misc_RNA from 1 species